UCAGUUCAAUGCUGUGGAUCUGAUCAAAUAAGUGUUAGUUAAGUGAUCCACUCUCCAUGUACUCAUAGUGCUUUCACCAUUUUAUUGAAGCAGAAUCCAAGAGAGCUUGACCAAGUUCUUCAACUGUACCAACUUCUGCCAUGACUUGCUCCUCAGCUCUUUAGAGGACCUUAACUGCUACCAUCGGAUGUCCUCAACGGACUUCUCGAUCGGUUCCAUUUCAAAUGUCGAGUCCUUGUGCAUUGCAGAUAUCAGUUGUGUGGUUGUGAUGGUGCUGCUGUCUAUCUGCCUUGAAGCAUUGAUUGACUGCAUUCUGAUCUUAUAUAUGGACACCCCUGACGGUCAGUAUCGCCAUCACAACUAGCCCGAUGCCACCCACGGCUAUCGUCGCUGUAAAAAUUGACAAAUUAGAUCGUGAGAAUUCAAAACAUGGAAAAGGAGUUCUCAUGGACUUCUUAUUGAAAUAGGGAGUUGGUUUGCUGAUUGUGAUAGCAGCCUUGCCAACAGUCAGGCCAUCUGAACUUGAUUAAGGGGGAGUGUUGCUUGGAGAACUUGUUUUGGCAUAUCUUUAGAAGUUGACAUAGUGGGUUUGGAUAGGCAACUUCUAUUGGAUCUGCUGUUGUGUUGCUAGAGAUCCAACUGUUGAAGCUAAAUUAAAAUUCCAUCUGGGCAUUGGCCUAUGAUGAUUAGAAUGAAUACAUCUCUGAAUCUUCAUUUGUAAUGAUAACUUUGGAGAAAAAUAUGUAUAGAAAAACUUGAAGUAAUUUAUUGAAGCAAUAAAUGGCAUGGACAUUAAUUUAGAUAUAGUCCAGUUCGGAAGAACUAAGUUUUACUCCCACAUAGAAGAGGUUUGCGGUUUCAGCAUGGCAACCAUGGUGUUAAAAUGAUUGGCUAUAUUAUAGUUAGCUAAUCUUGUAAGUUUGGCUCAUUUUUAUGGGAUAUCUCUUCUUUGUUUUCACCCUUCCAAUUGGUUUCUUUUUUUUUCCCCUUUUCCCCCCUUCUUCUUCCUCUUUCAUUGUCGCCUUCUUUGGGUCAUUCAUUUUUACCAAGAUUUCCAACUUCAGUCCAUGAAAUUUGCUUUAAGUCCUCUGUAAUGACACCCAUCAUAGCUCCAUUACUUUUGGUGAUUGCUUUUGGUGUUUGCGUCCCUCGAUGCUUCAUCACCUUUAAUUAUUAGAAGAAAUUUGGGAACCACAUUAUAAUUGACCUUCUUUAAUCCUCAUGGUACAUGAUCUGUGCAGACUCAAUUCUAAUCAUUAUUUCUUUAAUUCUACUAUCCCAACCCCAAUAAAUUCUUUAAGUAUAUAUUUCUUGAACUGGAUUGUUUUUAACACCCUUAUCAAUGGAGUUCUUAUGUCGUGCAUGAACCCUCUCUAUUUCCCAAUGCUGUCCUCCAUACAACAUUGCGAACCUUUACAAUAUCUUGCCAACUCAAAUGCCUUAGCCUCAUAACGUGCAGCAAUUACUCAAUUAUAACUUGACCAUUGAUCUCCAUCCAUAUCUAUAUAUUCUUGAUGUUGGAAUAAAUGUGAAAGACCUGAACCAAGUGAAAAUUAGUGCAAAACCGCAGCAUGGAAAUGUAUUCAACAAUAACUAAGAAAUUGAUUUGGGAGCCUGGCCUUCUGUAUUACUUUGUUACUCCAAACAUAUCAUAAUACUGCAAGUUAGAAGAAGAUAUUUUAGUUUGAUAUGCCAUUUGGAAGCCUCAUUACUCAGCAAUUUAUAUUUCUCAUGACAAGCACAUUUCAAGAACUAGACUAAUUUACUUGUUUGAACUUAUCACUAACAAAAUUUAUAACUAUUCUAAGUGAAUAAGGAAGGUAGAGGGAGCAAAGCAGUUUCAGUAAUUCAGUGCAUGAUAGUUGGUACCAUAGCACCUGAAGCAGGAAGGAUGGAGUUCCUUUCCAAUUCUUAUUGAAGUUUGAUUGCUUACCAGCAUGAAAAACACCUAAAUUUGGAGCAACUUUUUCCAUACUUAUAAAUUUUAUAUUCUCCAGAUCCAGUAUUAGUUUUUCAUGUCCUUUAUACCCAUGAGGCACUGAUUGACUUCUCUUUACCAUGAUGAUGUGCUUGACAUAGCUGACGUUGAUUAGUGGACUUGUGUAUUAUCCACCUUGCUAUGGUAAUCCUUGUACACAAAAUCUUCUUCUAUUAACGUAAUAUUUAUUGCUUUGAUCUCAAAAAACUUGUUUUUCUUCAGAAUAAUCAGAGUAAUCAAAAAUGACUUUUCUUUCUAAAGCUUCUACUGAUAAUUGGAGGGUAAACUGCAAAGUGUAAUCAGUGUGCUGUAAGCAAAGGUCAUCACAUGUAUUUCUGUUGAAUCUAAUAUCUACUUGCUCCCCUCACUUCAUGACCUAUGCAGGUGGAUUACUUUCUAAGAAGAAAAAGUAGAAAAAGUAAAAUGUCAUGAUUUAUGCAUGCUUCAUGCCAGUAACUCUUCUUCUUCAUCGAUUUAAGGUUACGCAUAGCAUAUGUGAUGAAAGAUUAUAUGGUCCAGGUACGUACUUGGGGAUCUGAAACUAUCACGGCGAAUCAACAAAUCAUUCACCUAACUUUGCCUUCUUAGAGUCCACCCUUUUCUUUGUUGCAUAAGCAUAUCACAUAAAUUUUAUUUUAGUUGAUUCAUAGAUCCAUCCCUUGAUUUGAGCUUUGUUUUGCUCGGAUUCCAUGAAUAGUUGUUAAUAUGGAUUGAAGUCGUUUAGUUGGCGAGUUUUCCUCCGUUUCUUUUGACCAGCAAUGGUUGCAACUCAAAAUGGUAGAUUGAAGAGGACAUAAAAGCCAGUAUGCUUUAGAUACCUAUGCAGGCGAUAUGAACUGGGUUUUGGUGAAAUGACUAAUAAUCUCAAAGAAGAAUCAUGAGUGACUUGCAAUUGCUUCCAUUCUAAACCCAAACAUAUAUCAAGUUUAGAGGGAAAAGAAAGGAUGGACCAUGGCCAGAGGCAACACUUAACGGCUCGGUCGGUGUCGCAGAAAUCAAAGAUACUUGCUAAAUCUUCAAGUGCCCAAGCUAGAAGCUAAUGCUUUUAGAUCAAAGACUAUGACUCAUGAUGGAAAUAUGAGAUAAUAUAACUGCCUUUUCUCUCACCUAAAAACAAGAUUGCGAAGCACAUCUACUUUUUUGUUUUCAAAAAUAUUUAAAAUUUAGAACGAAACAUAGCCUAAAUUUCUUGUUUGGAAAACACAUCAAAUCAUAGUUACACUUCAUUCCCCUUACCAUUAUGCAAGACUGCGAUUUUGAUAUUAUUUUGCUUCAUGCUGCAAGCCAAGAACAAGCUUACCUAAGAGUAUCUACACUUAACUUGACCCUAUCCCGAAUAAAUAUAUAAUAAAAAUAUUUAUAUUAAUUCAAUAUUAUCUCUAAUAAAUGCAAUUUAUAUUUAGUCCAUUUCCAACCUUCCUCUCGGGGUGAAGGUAAUUACAUAUGUCAACACAUUGGCCCACCUCGUUUAGCCGGUUUAUCAAGUUUGGGCUAUUCAAAAAUCUUCCAUGUGCUCACAGAGACACAGACAGAGAGAGAGGGAGGAAGAAAGAGAUCACCUCUAGGGACUUUCAAUGGUGUAGCCGAGGACUCAGACCAGAGUUCUCAUAGUCGACGGUGCGUGAAGCUUGGGGUACAAAAUCUAGGCUUUCAAGCCUGGCCCAUUAGAAGUUGGUGCCCUAGAUACAAUAAUUUUAGGGCUGCAACCUGGCCCAAUUUCGGUCGAAGCACUAAAUUUAUAGUCUCAUAUCGGGUGCAGGAAAGAAUUUUGUUAGCUAAUAUAAUAGAGCUCAGGGUUUGCGGUCACAACCUUACUUGAACAGGAUCUGUUCUAUAGGCUCGUACAAUCGUAUCCAAAGGAGACGGGCAACUCAGUCUGGUGGAUGACUCUUGACCUCAAGGCUAAAGCAUGAUUAAUGGUAAGAAACCUUCGGAGUUCUUGCUAUGGAGGAUCGUUCUCGGACGAUUUCGAUCGCCUCGGAUGGCCUUGAGGUUGUCUGACAGACUCCCCCUCUCUUUUUUCUUUUUGCUCGUCACAAUUUUUGAUCAAUUCUUCUUCUUAGGUAAGCAAUCUAUAACUCCAAUAUUUUUCUUACUUUUGUUUAUUUGUAUAAUAUUUUUCUAAAAGAUUCAUGGUACAUUGUAUUUAUGAAAUCAGUUUUCUCCAUGUAUUCCAAAUUCAGAAAUCUAUCGAUUUAAUUCGCUUAUGCAGAGCUAGUGCGAGGCUUGAUGUUCGUUGACUGACUUGCGGAAAAUUUCUUUCUUUUCUUUCUUCUUUUUUCUUAUUUUUGGGGAAACCCGCACGUUCUUUCAUCGCCAUGAGAAGAUUACCAUAAUACUUUUAAUGAGGAAGAUGGCGGCUGAAUUAUGGCCAAAGAUAUGUGCACACUAUUGCCCCAUGUUCUAUCUUAAUGAAAAUGCUCGUUGAUUCAUAGUUCCAAAAUUUCAGCUGUUGUUUUCUGUGUUAUAUGAUGCUUUCUAUUGGCCAUUUUAUAUGGGAUGGUCAUGAAAGAAGGAAAUAUAAAAAUAGAGUUUAUGGUAGGAAGGUGUUUGAUAUAUGGUCUAGCAGAGUGACAUAGAAUGCAAAUACUGGAUGCGAACAAAGAACUUGUUUUUCACAUGCCAAAAUACCUUCCACAAAGUUUGAAGACUUGCAAUCUCAUGUGACUCUCUCAGUUCAAUGCUGUGGAUCUGAUCAAAUAAAUGUUAGUUAAGUGAUCCACUCUCCAUGUACUCAUAGUGCUUUCACCAUUUUAUUGAAGCAGAAUCCAAGAGAGCCUGACCUAGUUCUUCAACUGUACCAACUUCUGCCAUGAAUUGCUCCUCAGCUCUUUGGAGGACCUUAACUGCUACCUUCGGAUGUCCUCAACGGACUUCUCGAUCGGUUCCAUUUCAAUUGUCGAGUCCUUGUGCAUUGCAGAUAUCAGUUGUGGUUGUGAUGGUGGUGCUGUCUAUCUGCCUUGAAGCAUUGAUUGACUGCAUUCUGAUCUUAUGGACACCCCUGAUGGUCAGUAUCGCCAUCACAACUAGCCCGAUGCCACCCACGGCUAUCGUCGCUGUAAAAAUUGACAAAUUAGAUCGUGAGAAUUCAAAACAUGGAAAAGGAGUUCUCAUGGACUUCUUAUUGAAAUAGGGAGUUGGUUUGCUGAUUGUGAUAGCAGCCUUGCCAACAAUCAGGCCAUCUGAACUUGAUUAAGGGGGAGUGUUGCUUGGAGAACUUGUUUUGGCAUAUCUUUAGAAGUUGACAGAGUGGGUUUGGAGAGGCAACUUCUAUCGGAUCUGCUGUUGUGUUGCUAGAGAUCCAACUGUUGAAGCUAAAUUAAAAUUCCAUCUGGGCAUUAGCCUAUGAUGAUUAGAAUAUAAUACAUCUCUGAAUCUUCAUUUGUAAUGAUAACUUUGGAGAAAAAUAUGGAUAGAAAAACUUGAAGUAAUUUAUUGAAGCAAUCAUGGACAUUGAUUUAGAUAUAGUCCAGUUCGGAAGAACUAAGUUUUACUCCCACAUAGAAGAGGUUUGCGGUUUCAGCAUGGCAACCAUGGAUUUAAAAUGAUUGGCUAUAUUAUAGUCAGCUAAUCUUGUAAGUUUGGCUCAUUUUUAUGGGAUAUAUCUUCUUUGUUUUCCCCCUUCCAAUUGGUUUCCUUUUUUUCACCCUUUUCCUCCCUUCUUCUUCCUCUUUCAUUGUUGUCGCCUUCUUUGGGUCAUUCUUUUUUACCAAGAUUUCCAACCUCAGUCCACGAAAUUUGCUUUAAGUCCUCUGUAAUGACACCCAUCAUAGCUCCAUUACUUUUGGUGUUCCCGUCCCUCAAUGCUUCCGCACCUUUAAUCAUCAGAAGAAAUUUGGAAACCUCAUUAUAAUUGACCUUCUUUAAUCCUCAUGGUACAUGAUCUGUGCAAACUCAAUUGUGAUCAUUAUUUCUUUAAUUCUACUAUCCUGACCCCAAAAAAUUCUGUAAGUAUAUAUUUCUUGAACUGGCUUGUUUUUAACAUCCUUAUCAAUGGAGUUUUUAUGUCGUGCAUGAACCCUUUCUAUUUCCCAAUGUUGUCCUCCAUACAACAUUGCGAACCUUUGCAAUAUCUUGCCAACUCAAACGCCUUUGCCUCACAACAUGAAGCAAUUACUCAGUUAUAACUUGACCAUAGAUCUCCAUCCAUAUCUAUAUAUUCUUGAUGUUGGAAUAAAUGUGAUAGACCUGAACCAAGUGAAAAUUAGUGUGAAACGACAGCAAGGAAAUGUAUUCAACAAUAACUAAGAAAUUGAUUUGGUAGCCUGCCCUUCUGUAUUUAUUUGUUACCACAACCAUAUCAUAAUACUGCAAUUUAGAAGAAGAUAUUUUAGUUUGAUAUGCCAUUUGGAAGCCUCAUUACUCAGCAAUUAAGAUUUCUCAUGACAAGCACAUUGCAGGAGCUAGCUAGGGUUUACUUGUUUGAACUUAUAUCACUAACAAAAUUUAUAACUAUUCUAAGUAAAUAAGGAAUGUAGAGGGAACAAAACAGUUUCGGUAAUUCAGUGCAUGAUAGUUGGUACCAUAACACCUGAAGCAGGAAGGAUGAAGUUCCUUGCCAAUUCUUAUUGAAGUUUGAUUGCUUACCGGCAUGGAAAACACCUAAAUUUGGAGCAACUUUUUCCAUACUUAUAAUAUUUAUAUUCUCCAGAUCCAGUAUUAGUUUUUCAUGUCCUUUAUAUCCAUCAGGUGCUGAUUGACUUCUCUUUACCAUGAUGAUGUGCUCAACAUAGCUGAUGUUGAUUAGUGGACCUGCGUAUUAUCCACCUUGCUAUGAAUAAUCAGAGUAUUCGAAAAAGACUUUUCUUUCAAAAGCUUCUGCUGAUAAUUGGAGGUGGAUUACUUUCUAAGACGAAAAAGUAGAAAAAGUAAAAUGUCAUGAUUUAUGCAUGCUUCAUGCCAGUAACUCUUCUUCUUCAUCGAUUUAAGAUUACGUAGUAAGUAAUUCAGUGAUUCUUUGCGUUUAUGUGCAUUACAGAAUUUUGCGCAACUAGCCAACUAUAGAACUUACUCUUGUGCCAAUUUAUGCAGUAGCAUAUGUGAUGAAAGAUUAUAUGGUCCAGGUAUGUACUUGGGGAUCUGAAACUAUCACCGCGAAUCAAGAAAUCAUUCACCUAACUUCACCUUCUUAGAGUCCACCCUUAACUUUUUUUCAUAAGCAUAUCACAUAAAUUUUAUUUCAGUUGAUUCAUAGAUCCAUCCCUUGAUUUGAGCAUUGUUUUGCUUGGAUUCCAUGAAUAGUCGUUAAUAUGGAUUGAAGUCGUUUUGAGGUUUCCUCGGUUUCUUUUGACCAGCAAUGGUUGCAACUCAGAAUGCUAGAGUGAAGAGGAGAUAAAAGCCAGUAUGCUUGAGAUAAAAUUUCUCUCACCUAAAUCUUGACAGGGACUGCGAACUACAGCAGUUGAAGACAAGGAUUCUAUUCCACAGUUUCUUCUGUUUCUGGACAAAAUCAAAAUAACAAAACGCUCCAAGCGAGCAGCCUCCCUUUUUGGGCGCAAAACAAGGCUCUUGAUGAAGAUCAGACAAAGGUUUGAGGUGAAAUGGAAAAGGAAGCCAAAUUUGAGCUUAAUAGCGUUCAGAUACAGCGUCAGAUUUCCCUAAUCCCCGGUUGCUGAGCGAUCUUGCAACAGGACUCUCUGCAUAGGACAUUUAGCUAUAUCAAAUGGAAGGUGGCAAAGGUGGUAAACCAAAAGAACUCACCAGCAAAGGGCAGGCCGUCUAAUAUGUUAAUACAUGUUGCGCGGCUUACUGAUGUGUGAUUGUAACAAUAGAAUAUCUAUAUCAUUGGUGCCAUUUGUAUGAGUAUGCCGAGGCAUCGAAGGGGUCUCCAUUCAUGACCACCACCUAGUUUUAACACAUCAUCCAGCAGUGCCAAUUAUAUUGCAGCGGUCCAAUUGAGGUGUAAAUGUUUGACAAACAGGACUGCUAUCGUCUCAUUGGUGGUCACCUGUCAAGCGUUUUUUUUUUCUUAUGCUCCAUGGGAGCUGGUGUAUCUUGACAAACAGGACUGCUAUCGUCUCAUUUGUGGUCGCCUGUCAAGCGUUUUUUUUUUUCUUAUGCUCCAUGGGAGCUGGUGUAUCUUUGUUCUGAGUUUUGUUUUGAACUGUUAAGGCAUCAUUAAUCACCUGUCAACGAGGCUAUUCGAUGGAAAUUUUUAUGUGGACGCUAGAUCAGCCA